rnacentral:rRNA from 1 species
AUAUCACUAAGCGGAGGAAAAGAAAUUAACUAAGAUUGCCUCAGUAACGGCGAGUGAAGCGGCAAAAGCCCAAACUGGAAAUCUUUACACUGUGUGUAACGAAUUGUAAUCUACAGGUGAGACACUCAGCGGAUGGGGAUGCAGAAGUGGCCUAGAAUGGUCCGCCAGAGAGGGUGACAGCCCCGUAUGUGGUAUCGCCGUCUAACGAGUGCUUACUGAAGAGUCGGGUAGUUUUUGGAAUUACUGCCCUAAGUGGGGGAUAGACUUCCUCUAAGGCUAAAUACAAAUGGGAGACCGAUAGCGCACAAGUA